AAAGCUCAACCUUUUUCAUAAAAUUAGUGUAAUGUGUUACAUGCACGAUUAAAUAUCAUCCUGGCUUGAAGAUAUUGAAUCUCAAGAAUUUAUUGAUGAAAUUCGUAUAAUGUUUUACAUACAUAAUUAUACGACAUUCUGGUUUGAAUAAUUUUGAAGCCUGAGGAUUUCUCGACGAAUUUAUUGUGAUGGCUACAAAAGCUGCUCUACUGCUGCCACUGCUGUUGCUGCUGCUCGAGUUCUCUUUUGCUGAGCCCUCACGGCGACGCUCUCUUAAACCUUGCCCUCAAGGCUUCAAGGCGGUGAUGGUAGAUGGCAAGCAGGACUGCCAGUGCGCGGACUACCACGUCUACUGGCCCG